CGGGGUGUAGCGCAGUUGGCAGCGCGCUGCGUUUGGGACGCAGAAGUCGGCGGUUCAAGUCCGCCCACCCCGACUA
rnacentral:tRNA from 1 species